GGUCAUGAGCGCCAGCGCGAAGCCCCGGCUCGCUGGCCGGCAACCCUCCAACCGCGGUGGGGUGCCCCGGGUGAGGACCUGGUCCGGCGCGGGGUGCGUCGGGCAAGCGCGGACC
rnacentral:ncRNA from 1 species